AUGGAUAGUUAUCAGAAGGAUGAGAAAGCUAUAGCUAUAAUGCAGCAAUUAGCUAUUCAACCAGCAUCUAAACCCCCCUACAAUUUGGUCAAUGGAUUACUUAAAUAUAAACAGAGCAUAUGGGUGGGUCCUGUUCCUGCUUUGCAUCAGAAAAUUUUUGCUGCUUUCCAUGAUAGUCCUUUGGGGGGCCAUUCAGGGUUUCCAGUUACAUACAAAAGAAUUCAUGCCUUGUUUUCUUGGUUUGGUAUGAAAAAGUUCAUUCUGGCUCAGGUGCAGUCCUGUUUGCUCUGUCAGAAAGCUAAACCAGAGAGGGUUCCUUAUCCUGGGCUGCUAUCUCCAUUACCAGUACCACAUCAAGCUUGGCAUACUAUUUCUAUGGAUUUCAUUAGUGGUCUUCCUCAAUCUUCUCAGUUCAACUGCAUUUUGGUGGUAAUUGAUAAAUUUUCCAAGUAUGGUCAUUUCAUUCCCUUGAGACAUCCUUUUAAUGCUCAGAAAGUUGCAGAGGUGUUCUUGGACAAUGUUUAUAAGUUACAUGGGAUGCCAAAGUACAUUAUCUCUGACAGAGAUCCAAUAUUCACUAGCCAAUUUUGGAAAAUGUUGAUUGCUAGAACUGGGACUCAGCUGAAUAUGAGCACAGCAAAUCAUCCUGAGACUGAUGGUCAGACUGAAAGGGUUAACCAGCAAGUGGAGUGUUAUCUCAGGUGUUUCAUUAGUGCUCAAUCUCAUAAAUGGAGUAAGUGGUUGUCCUUGUGUGAGUUUUGGUAUAAUUCCAAUUGGCAUUCUGCUUUGGGAAAGUCUCCUUUUGAGAUCCUGUAUGGGUAUACUCCAAGAUAUUUUGGUGUUAGUGAGUCUGAUACAAUUGCACCAGUGGAAAUGCAAGAGUGGUUGCAAUCUUGCCAGGCGAUUACAGAGACAGCAAGACAGCAUCUGCUGCGAGCACAACAUCGUAUGAAAAGCCAAGCCGACAAACACAGGUCUGACAGAACGUUUGCUGUGGGAGAUCAGGUGUUCCUGAAAAUGCAGCCAUAUGCUCAAUUGUCAUUGUAUUCCAGGGCGAACCAUAAACUUGCUUUUAAGUUUUAUGGGCCAUUCCAAGUGUUGGAGAGGAUAGGGGACAGAGCAUAUAAGCUGGGUCUGCCUGCAACCAGCCGCCUGCAUCCUGUGUUUCAUGUUUCACAGCUGAAGAAGUUCCUACCCCGCGAUGCUGUUGUCAAUCAGUCCUUGCCUACACCCCAAGCUGCACUUCAAAUUCCGGUCCAGGUGUUGCAGCGUAAGGUGUGUCAGGUCGGUCGCCGGAAUAUCGUCCGAGGACUGGUUCAGUGGUCUGAUUCUUCGCCAGCUGAUGCUACGUGGGAAGAUUUGGAGUUUCUCAAACAACAAUUCCCCCGUGCUCCGGCUUGGGGACAAGCCAGCUCUCAAGGAGGGAGGAUUGUCAGCGACGCACGGGUGCAGGAUACUGAAGAUCACCACCAAGCGGCAACAGAGCCCGAUACUGUUCACCAUCCGACAAGCGAGGAAGUAACGGCAGAGAACCAGGCCUCGAGCAGGCCUGCGGCGCGGCCCACUCGAGUCAAGAUGAAGCCCAGGUGGAACGGUGGCCCUGAAUGGGUUCGGUAG
rnacentral:rRNA from 1 species